rnacentral:rRNA from 1 species
UACGGAGGGUGCAAGCGUUAUCCGGAUUCACUGGGUUUAAAGGGUGCGUAGGUGGGCAGAUAAGUCAGUGGUGAAAUCCCCGAGCUUAACUCGGGAACUGCCAUGGAUACUAUUUGUCUUGAAUAUUGUGGAGGUAAGCGGAAUAUGUCAUGUAGCGGUGAAAUGCUUAGAUAUGACAUAGAACACCAAUUGCGAAGGCAGCUUACUACACAGUUAUUGACGCUGAGGCACGAAAGCGUGGGGAUCAAACAGG